rfam:Schistosoma margrebowiei strain Zambia genome assembly, scaffold: SMRZ_scaffold0000741
ACCCUUCUGUAUCCAUUCUGAGGUUUCGUCACACGUCAGACCACAAGGGCUGAUGAGACUCUCAAAAUAAAUGAAGCG